rnacentral:lncRNA from 1 species
ACACAUUGUACAUGAUCAUAUAAACUAAAAUAUUUCAAAAACGGGUAAACAAUAUAAUAUCCCUUUAUCUCCUUAAAUGUUUGGCAAGAGGGACAACAGGUGCAGUAGGAUUGACAAUCUUCUUUCUUUUCUUUUGCUCCAGUUGCUUACCAGGAACAAAACUCCAUGCAACAACCUGAUGCAUAAAACAUGAAGGCGAAAGUGCUCAGUCAAAAAGUUGCUCAUAGUUAUACAUGACCAAAGUAAAGUUUAUUGGGAAAAUCCAGUGUCCUAUCAUUUCACUUCUUCUAUAUCAUCAAACCAUAAUUUGAGAUUGAUUCAACGAAACAAUAAUCUGAGAUAGAGAAAUUCAAGCUUCAUAAAAGAAACUGACAUCUUUUUAAAAUAUUUGCCAUUUCUGCUUAUAAAAAUGAUACCAUUUCUGCUUAUAAAAAUGGAAGGAAAAAGCAAAAACAAAGGUAGCAUACCUUCAAUCCUUGGCAAACCACUUCAUAUGCUUUAGAUUUACGAUCCAUGCAAUUUAAUGUCAAACCCUUCAUUGAUAAAGGUUUUAUCAACCAGAAGGAGGAACAAACACAUAAAUAAAUAAAAAAUACCCAAAGAAUCAUGAUAAUUAAGAAAUGGAGAGAGGAUAAGUAACUUAAGUAAAAAAGAUAGGUGGUGUGUUACUUAACUGAAACAUGUAACAAGGAAAUAAAACAUUGCAUUCAGAUCUCUCAUUGUAACAAGUAUUUGAAAAAUCAUAAAAUGGACAUUGCAUUCAUCUUCCAUUAAUGAAACAGAAUUUCAGUAUGAUCAAAAAUAAAUCUUACAAAAAUAAAAAACAAAUUAGACAUAAGCAUUGAUUCUCAAGGACUAGCAUUACUCAUUCCCAAUAAUUCAUAUAACUAAAAAUGAUAUAAUUUUGGCAUGUGUUGACAGUUUUGCAAAUAAGUGAAAACAUAAUAAGCAAGUAUCAGUUCUAACUCUAUGGAAAAAAGGCAAAGUUUGAAUCUCAACAAUCACACACACCAUCCUCUAUACAUUAUUAAUAACAUAACAACAUAAAAUACAAAGGGAGGGACUGGGGAGAAUAAUUAGUUAUUGUUCUGUAUUUGCAGUGUUGGCCCGUAUUUUGCACAUUGCUGUAUCUUCACCAGCUGGCUAGGGAUUAACCACCUGUUGAAAAUAAUUGCUUGAUUUACAACCACUGUAUCACAAGUCUAAAUGAACAUCUUCUCCUUGAGAACUAACCUUCAAAUUAGAAGAAUGCACAUUGACUUUGCCAAAAUAUCUGAGUAUGAGUCGGGCAAUAUUCUCAGCUGACACAACACUUGUUUCCAUGGUGCUAGCCGCAUUUUCGAAUGCAUUAACAUAGUAAAGAUGUCGCCCAUCCAAUAUAAACAGUGCAAAUAUUUCUGGGGCGUGAUAAUGAGGGUAGGCAGCCCAGUUUAUCCUAAUUGUCUCCUUCCUCCCAAUGUUAGAGGAGCAAUCAAUAAAAAGUUACAAUUAGAAAACUGGUAAAAGUUUUUCCCUCAUUUUUCUGAGAGGGAGAAAGAAGAGAUAACAAAAUACGAAGCUAAACAAGUAAAUACUAAACCAGUUGAAUGCACUCAAGUGGUUAAUAAACUUCAGUGAAAGACGAAUCGUUCGGGAGAACCCAAGUUAGAACCUUGGCUGAAACAAUUUUUAGCCGGACCAGCAUCAGGUUCCAUCCUGGUGCAUCCCAUUUGCAACUCAGGGCUAAGUGAUUAACCAGAGUCUAUAUUGUAUAGUACUUAUUAGGUAAAUUUGAUGUGUGAUCCCAUAAAGUAAGCAGGUUUUUAAAAUAGAUUUUGCUACACAUAUCAACAGUGUAAUUUAAGCUUCAAGGCACAUGAAAAAUUAGUUAACAGCUGCUACUAUUACCUGAAAAUGCUAUCAAGUAAUGUGUCUGCCACUGGUUGACGAGAGAAUAUUUUAUAAGUGGACUCUUCUUCAUUGUGCUUCUUGAGAACUGAAAUGCUUGUAAAUGGAAGUUUAGGGUCCUCUAAUGUGGCCACAAAAGACAAACGUUAGGUUGCAAUGAGUAAAAAAUAAGCAUUAUUUACACUAUUUAUACUUCUAAUAAAAAAUAAGCAUAUGAACUAAAGAUUUACCAAUUCCUUUUUGAAUACUACGUAUGUUAAAUCAAACACAUUGUCAAUAAAGAGCUAACAAAUACUAUUCAAUAGAAUCAUCUUCCUCUUGAUCUUCAUCUUCACCAUCGUCACUGAAAUCAUCUUCUUCAUCCUCAUCAUCUUGCAUCAUAUGCAAAUCAACUUCUUCACCAUAAACUGAAUCAUCUUGUAAGUUAUCAAUUGGGUN